AAAUUCCUUCUGUGCCGAAGCAAACUCGUUUAGCAUCCCGCCUGGGGACUACGGCCGCAAGGAUAAAACUCAAUCGAAUUGACGGGGUCCCGCACAAGCAGCGGAGCUUGUGGUUUAAUUCGAUGCUACACGAAGAUCCUGACCUGGGUUUGACAUGCACGUGGCAGGGAACCGAAAGGGGACCGACCUUCGGGAGCGUGCACAGGGAGUGCAUGGUGUUGUCAGCUCGCGCCGUGAGGUGUCGGGUUAAGUCCUGUAACGAGCGCAACCCUUGCCUGCAUUUACAAGUCUUUAAGGGGACUUCCCGCGACAAUUGGGAGGAAGGUGGGGAUGACGUCAAGUCAGCAUGGCCUUUAUUUCCAGGGCUACACCCACGCUACAAUGGCCAGUACAAUAGGUAGCCAAGUUGUGAGACGGAGCCAAUCUGUAAAGCUGGUUUCAGUUAGAAUUGCAGUGCGCAACUCGAUUCCUUGAACCGGGAAAUGCUAGUAAUUGCAGGUCAGCCAUACUGCGGGGAAUACGUUCCCGGGCCUUGUACACCCCGCCCGUCUUGUCAUGGAAGCUGGCAACGCCCCCGCCAAGAGCUAACCCGAAAGGGACUCGCC
rnacentral:rRNA from 1 species